rnacentral:rRNA from 1 species
UACGUAGGUGGCGAGCGUUAUCCGGAAUUAUUGGGCGUAAAGAGCGCGCAGGUGGUUGAUUAAGUCUGAUGUGAAAGCCCACGGCUUAACCGUGGAGGGUCAUUGGAAACUGGUCGACUUGAGUGCAGAAGAGGGAAGUGGAAUUCCAUGUGUAGCGGUGAAAUGCGUAGAGACAUGGAGGAACACCAGUGGCGAAGGCGGCUUCCUGGUCUGUAACUGACGCUGAGGCUCGAAAGCGUGGGGAGCAAACGGGAUUAGAUACCCCGGUA